GUUUUGUUGCUUUAAAAUAGGAUUUAAAAAGUAUGUUUAUUUGCUCAAACUAAGCUGUUUAACUUGCACAAGUUUCAAUUUUUAACUCUUAGGAAAUUUUUUUAAUGAUGAUUAGAAAAAAAGAUUAUUGAAAGAAUUUUGGAAAAUGUAGAGAAGUAUAAAAAGGAUUAAAAUAAUUAGUUCUGUCACCCAGAGAACACUACCCGCUUUCUGUAUCAUGAAAGAAAAAUAUACAAAGACAGUGUUUUUAGAAAAAUGCUUUUGUUAAGGAAUUUUAAAAAAUAAGCUUCAGAAUCCUUUUCACUGUAUGAUUAAAGUUGCGUUGUAGAAGCCGUGCAGACAGAUGUUCCAGAUACGCACACCAAAAUCUCCAAGUGCUUUCUCUCAGGGGAAAGAGAGUGGUUAGUUACAGAUUAUUUGAAAAAUAUUUCAUUUUCCUCAUCUUCCAAAAAUUUCAUGAUAAGCAUUUAUAUUUAUAUUGAAAAAGAAGACAGACUUUAAAAAAACUAUGAAACAAAUCGUGUUUGUUAGUGAGGUGGAAGGCUUUUUCAUCUUGUUUUUGGCCUUUUAUGUUUUGUCAGUGGUCCAUCUUUGUUUCCCGUUUACUCAUCUAUAAAAUGAUAAAGUAUUUAUCUGAUUGUGUGUAACAGAGUUAGAAUUAAUAUAGAUGACAUACUUAGAAUAAUGCUUGAUGUAAACAUUGAAUACAUUUUAGGUAUUGUGUUGACUAAUCUUUUUUGACUUACUGAUACAGUUCCUUUUUUUUUUUUACUGAUACAUUUCCUUACCCCAUCUUAUAGAUAUUAUUUAAACUUAUAAUCUAGAAUUUUUCAGAUUGAUUUGUUGGAGUCCUUUAGGAAUAUCAAGUCUUUCUGUCAGUCGAUGAAAAUAUUUUCCAGUUAUUUACCUGCUUUUCCUAUGUUUUGAUACAUAAAGUUACAUACAUUAAUUUUUAUGUAAACUUUUUUAAUGGUUUCUGCUUUAUCUGAACAUAUUUUCCAUUAAAAAUUAUACAUGGAAGAUAAAAUACAUGAAGGGCUUGGACUUUCUAAAAUUUAAGCACAGAGGUGUGUGCUGCUAUGGUGCAGUGAAAAUGUGAUGUAAUGUGUGCUAAAGUGACUGUAAUAUAAGCUUUAGUUCGGUCAGAAACGGUACAAAAAUUACAAACUUUUUCAAAAGAUUUGUUUAUUUAUUUGAAAGGCAAAGUUACAGAGAGACAGAGAAAGAGAGAUAGAGAGAAAUGUCUUCCAUCUGCUGUUCCGCUCCCCAAAUGGCCGCAACGGCUAGAGCUUUGCCAUUCUGAAGCCAGGAGCCAGGAACUUCUUCCCUGUCUUCCAUGUGGAUGCAGGGGCCCAAGCACUUGGGCCAUCUUCAGCUGCUUUCCCAGGCCAUAGCAGAGAGCUGGAUUGGAAGUGGAGCAGCCGGGACUUGAAUAGGUGCCUAGAUGGGAUGCUGGCAUUGUGGGUGGCGGCUUUGCCUGCUAUGCCACAGCCUUGGCCCCCAAACUUUUUCUUUUUUAAAGAUUGAUUGAUUUGAAGGGUAGAGUGACGGAGAGAUCUUUCAUCCUCUGGUUCACUCCCCAAAUGGCCUGAAUAGCCAGAUCCGGGUCAGGUUGGAGCUAGAAGCCAGGAAUUCCAUCUGGGUCUCUCGCAUGGGUUGCAGGGGCCCAAGCAGUUGGACCAUCUUCUACUGCCUUCCCAGGCACCUUAGCGGGGAAAUGUAGAGCUGGGACUCAGGCUGACACUCCAGUGUGGUUUGAUGCCAUCACAAGCAGUAGCUUACCCUGCCGUGCCACGAUGCUGGUCCCCAAACUUCUUCUU